ACUAAAUUGCACAAAUUGAGGCCCUAAUCAAGACAAUUACUCUUGCAUGUUGGUAGAUUCUUGAUCUCCUAGGUCCAUUAAAGCAUAAGGAAUUAAGGAGGAAAGCUCAAGCCGUUCCGAGUCUCAAACGAAGAACGAUAAAGGUAAAGCGACUUGUUAAAUGGCGUUACUUGGAUCGAACACACUCUUGAUGCACUUCUGCAAGGAUAUUAGUUUUUGGUUAAAACUUUU